AAUCCCACUCUGUCAGCCCGGCUGGAGUGCAAUGGCGCAGUCUUGGCUCGCUGCAACAUCUACCUCCCAGGUUCAAGUGAUUCUCCUGCCUCAGCCUCCCAAGUAGCUAGGAUUACAGGCUUGCACCACCACACCUGGCUAACUUUUUGUGUUUUUAGUAGAGACGGGCUUUCCCUAUGUUGGCCAGACUGGUCUCAAACUACUGGCCUCAAGUGAUUUACCCACCUUGGCCUCCCAAAUUUCUGGGAUUACAGGCAUGAGCCACCGAGCGCAGUCCUGACUCUGCUCUUGGGAUACCUGAGAGUACUGUGUUAUAUGAAUAUCUGAUCUACCUAUGGAUUCAGCCGACCUAAAGUUGUUGAAUUCUUAAGCCACCACCCCCUUCUCACCAGGCGCUUCUUGCCGCUGCCAUGAGAAGAAGGAUGUUUGCUUCCCCCUCUGCCAUGAUUGUUAAGUUUCCUGAGGCCUCCUGAGCCAUGCUGAACUGCUGGAAAAAUAAAACAAAAUGAAAUGAAACCUGAAAUUGACAAGUGUUGGAAAGGAUACAGAGAAUUUGGAACACUUCUGCAUUGUUGGUGAGAAUAUAAAAUGAUGGAGCUGCUAUAGAAAAUGGUAUGGUGAUUCUUCAAAAAUUUAAACAUAGAAUUACAAUGUAAUCCAGCAAUUCCCUCUCUAAGUAC